AAAGACUGCCUCAUCAACCUACACUUCCACCACAACAUCAAGAACGACUGCCUCAACUCUCAGGUGUGACAACAUUUUUUCAGUCACGUGCUACAAGAUAGAGAUCUCCCCAGGGGCCCUGGUGUUGGUCACACUGCUUGUCUUUAUUUGGGGGAUGCUGUGUAAACCAUGUUGCUGUAAGAAGAAGCGCAGUGUCCCAUCUGCUGAAAACAUGGUUUUUAUGCAGAUGCAAGAGAACUAGAUACAGAGUCUGCAGAAUCUCUCUUACCUGUAUGUCAUAUGCACAUCUGCAGGAUCUCUCUUACCUGUACAGUAUGUCAUAUGCACAUCUGCAGAAUCUCUCUUACCUGUAUGUCAUAUGCACAUCUGCAGAAUCUCUCUUACCUGUAUCUCAUAUGCACAUCUGCAGAAUCUCUUACCUGUAUGUCAUAUGCACAUCUGCAGAAUCUCUCUUACCUGUAUGUCAUAUGCACAUCUGCAGAACACAUUAUGCUACUGGAAUUAUUCUUUCUAAAACCGAAAUAAAACUUUUCUUCUGUUUGCAA